UUAGCAUGGCAUUAUUUUUAUAAACAAGCAAACGAAAUGUUUUUUUUGGUUAUUCAGGAGUAAUCGGUGCUAAUGUUGCGAAGAUUUACGUAAAAUAUUUUAAAUCGUGACGUGGCAGCGUUGAGCAUACUCACAAUGAGCUUCUCGCCCGCGGGCCAAGAUGGAGACGCCAUGAAGGUGUUCCGCAACACGCGUUGAUCCUCCGACAGCCGGUCGUCAACGAACCUCUCGCGUAUGCUGCUAGGAUAGCUGUUCUUCUUUCCUGAGAAUCCAAAAAUUAUUAAAAUUCAGCAGCAGAUACCAUGAAACAAUUUAAGAACAUAUUUACCCUUGAACAUCUUCUCGGCCAGCACUUUGAGCUCGAACUGCUUCUUAUCUGUCGGUGAGAGUGCUAGUCUGUAUUUCCGAGCGAGGUGUCGGCGGUGCAGAUGCUGCAACUCGCG